rnacentral:rRNA from 1 species
AAAUGAAUUGACGGGGACCCGCACAAGCAGCGGAGCAUGUGGUUUAAUUCGAAGCAACGCGAAGAACCUUACCAGGUCUUGACAUCCUCUUGCAAGCAUCUUAGCCGAUGCCCUCCUUCGGGACAAGAGAGACAGGUGGUGCAUGGUUGUCGUCAGCUCGUGUCGUGAGAUGUUGGGUUAAGUCCCGCAACGAGCGCAACCCUUGUGUUUAGUUGCCAACAGGUUAAGCUGUGCACUCUAAACAGACUGCCGUGGAUAACACGGAGGAAGGUGGGGAUGACGUCAAAUCAUCAUGCCCCUUAUGAUCUGGGCUACACACGUGCUACAAUGGUCGGUACAACGGGCAGCGAAAGAGCGAUCUGGAGCGAAUCCUAAAAAGCCGAUCCCAGUUCGGAUUGCAGGCUGAAACUCGCCUACAUGAAGUUGGAGUUGCUAGUAAUCGCGAAUCAGAAUGUCGCGGUGAAUGCGUUCCCGGGUCUUGUACACACCGCCCGU